rnacentral:rRNA from 1 species
GAUGAACGCUGGCGGCGUGCCUAAUACAUGCAAGUCGAGCGAACGGACGAGAAGCUUGCUUCUCUGAUGUUAGCGGCGGACGGGUGAGUAACACGUGGAUAACCUACCUAUAAGACUGGGAUAACUUCGGGAAACCGGAGCUAAUACCGGAUAAUAUUUUGAACCGCAUGGUUCAAAAGUGAAAGACGGUCUUGCUGUCACUUAUAGAUGGAUCCGCGCUGCAUUAGCUAGUUGGUAAGGUAACGGCUUACCAAGGCAACGAUGCGUAGCCGACCUGAGAGGGUGAUCGGCCACACGGGAACUGAGACACGGUCCAGACUCCUACGGGAGGCAGCAGUAGGGAAUCUUCCGCAAUGGGCGAAAGCCUGACGGAGCAACGCCGCGUGAGUGAUGAAGGUCUUCGGAUCGUAAAACUCUGUUAUUAGGGAAGAACAUAUGUGUAAGUAACUGUGCACAUCUUGACGGUACCUAAUCAGAAAGCCACGGCUAACUACGUG